rnacentral:rRNA from 1 species
GUGGGGAAUCUUGCGCAAUGGGCGAAAGCCUGACGCAGCCAUGCCGCGUGAAUGAUGAAGGUCUUAGGAUUGUAAAAUUCUUUCAUCGGGGACGAUAAUGACGGUACCCGGAGAAGAAGCCCCGGCUAACUUCGUGCCAGCAGCCGCGGUAAUACGAAGGGGGCUAGCGUUGCUCGGAAUUACUGGGCGUAAAGGGCGCGUAGGCGGACAGUUUAGUCAGAGGUGAAAGCCCAGGGCUCAACCUUGGAAUUGCCUUUGAUACUGGCUGUCUUGAGUACGGGAGAGGUGAGUGGAACUCCGAGUGUAGAGGUGAAAUUCGUAGAUAUUCGGAAGAACACCAGUGGCGAAGGCGACUCACUGGCCCGUUACUGACGCUGAGGCGCGAAAGCGUGGGGAGCAAACAGGAUUAGAUACCCUGGUAGUCC